rnacentral:rRNA from 1 species
AUGAACGCUGGCGGCGUGCCUAAUACAUGCAAGUCGAGCGAACGGACGAGAAGCUUGCUUCUCUGAUGUUAGCGGCGGACGGGUGAGUAACACGUGGAUAACCUACCUAUAAGACUGGGAUAACUUCGGGAAACCGGAGCUAAUACCGGAUAAUAUUUUGAACCGCAUGGUUCAAAAGUGAAAGACGGUCUUGCUGUCACUUAUAGAUGGAUCCGCGCUGCAUUAGCUAGUUGGUAAGGUAACGGCUUACCAAGGCAACGAUGCAUAGCCGACCUGAGAGGGUGAUCGGCCACCCUGGAACUGGAGCACGGUCCAGACUCCUAAGGGAAGCAACAGUAGGGAAUCUUCCGCAAUGGGCGAAAGCCUGACGGAGCAACGCCGCGUGAGUGAUGAAGGUCUUCGGAUCGUAAAACUCUGUUAUUAGGGAAGAACAUAUGUGUAAGUAACUGUGCACAUCUUGACGGUACCUAAUCAGAAAGCCACGGCUAACUACGUG